rnacentral:rRNA from 1 species
UACGUAGGUGGCAAGCGUUGUCCGGAAUUACUGGGCGUAAAGCGUGCGCAGGCGGCGCCGCAAGUCAGGCGUGAAAUCCCCGAGCUUAACUUGGGAAUGGCGCUUGAAACUACGGUGCUGGAGUGUGGCAGAGGGAGGUGGAAUUCCACGUGUAGCGGUGAAAUGCGUAGAGAUGUGGAGGAACACCGAUGGCGAAGGCAGCCUCCUGGGCCAACACUGACGCUCAUGCACGAAAGCGUGGGGAGCAAACAGG